UACGGAGGGUGCGAGCGUUAAUCGGAAUUACUGGGCGUAAAGCGCACGUAGGCGGUCAGGCAAGUCGGGUGUGAAAGCCCUGGGCUCAACCUGGGAAUUGCAUUCGAAACUAUCUGACUCGAGUAUGGGAGAGGGAAGCGGAAUUUCCGGUGUAGCGGUGAAAUGCGUAGAUAUCGGAAGGAACACCAGUGGCGAAGGCGGCUUCCUGGACUAAUACUGACGCUGAGGUGCGAAAGCGUGGGGAGCAAACGGG
rnacentral:rRNA from 1 species